UGGCGACCGGCGCACGGGCGAGUAACGCGUAUCCAACCUGCCCUUUACUAUGGGACAGCCCGUCGAAAGGCGGAUUAAUACCGUAUGUUGUCAUGUUGAUGCAUAUUUUCAUGACCAAAGGCUUCGGCCGGUAAAGGAUGGGGAUGCGUCUGAUUAGCUUGCCGGCGGGGUAACGGCCCACCGGGGCGACGAUCAGUAGGGGUUCUGAGAGGAAGGUCCCCCACAUUGGAACUGAGACACGGUCCAAACUCCUACGGGAGGCAGCAG
rnacentral:rRNA from 1 species